rnacentral:rRNA from 1 species
GUUCUAAGGGCGGUGAAGUCAGACCGGAAGGACUGGUGGAGCGCGUAGAAGUGAGAAUGCCGGUAUGAGUAGCGAAAGAAGGGUGAGAAUCCCUUCCACCGAAUAUCUAAGGUUUCCUGAGGAAGGCGCGUCCGCUCAGGGUUAGUCGGGACCUAAGCCGAGGCCGAUAGGCGUAGGCGAUGGACAACAGGUAGAGAUUCCUGUACCAGUGCUAAUUGUUUAACCGAUGGGGUGACACAGAAGGAUAGGGAAUCG